rnacentral:lncRNA from 1 species
CUCGUGGUGCGCCGUUUUUUAAGCCCGUCGGAAAAGCGCAGUAUUCUGGUGGGAGUGACCCGAUUUUCCAGGUGCUGUCAGUCACCGCUUUCUUUGACUCGGAAAGGGAACUCCCUGACCCCUUGCACUUCCCAAGUGAGGCAAUGCCUCGCCCUGCUUCGGCUCGUGCACGAUACGUGCACCCACUGACCUGCGCCCACUGUCUGGCACUCCCUAGUGAGAUGAACCCGGUACCUCAGAUGGAAAUGCAGAAAUCACCUGUCUUCUGCUUCGCUCACGCUGGGAGCUGUAGACCGGAGCUGUUCCUGUUCGGCCAUCUUGGCUCCUCCCUGCCAGAUAGCUCUUAUUUUGAGAAUGUUUACACUUGGAGUCCAGAGCUGCCCUGUUAAGAAGCUCAACUACCCUGAGGUCACCAUGAUGUCAGGAAGCCAAACUCGAUGGAAAGGCCAUUAAGUGGGUACUGCACUUGACAGCCCAGUGUCAUUCCCAGCAAACAGUCAACACCAACAGUGGGAGAGUUGUCUUGAAUGUCUACACCAGUCUAAUCUUCAGAGGACAGCAGCUCCGUGACAUCUGACUCCAACUGCUUGAGAGAUCUUAUGCCAGAAAUACCCAGCCAAGCUCUUCCCACAUUCCUAGCCCCAAAGAAUUAUUAGCAAAAUAAAACAGUUGUUUUAAAAUGGU